GGCCGGGUGGCUUAGCUGGACAUAGCGCCGCACUCAUAGGGUAUCGAGAUUCGGUGCGGUACGCCUUGGAAGAUCCGCAGCGCCCACGGGGCCCGCCGAGCCUCGGACCUGGGUCAUGCGGAGAUCGCGGGUUCGGAGCCCGCCCCGGCCA
rnacentral:tRNA from 1 species